rnacentral:tRNA from 1 species
AGGGGUGUAGUUCAAACUGGUAGAGCAUCGGUCUCCAAAACCGAUAGUUGGGGGUUCAAAUCCCUCCACCCCUG